rnacentral:rRNA from 1 species
UUUGAACGCUGGCGGCAUGCCUUACACAUGCAAGUCGAACGGCAGCACGGGUGCUUGCACCUGGUGGCGAGUGGCGAACGGGUGAGUAAUACAUCGGAACGUACCUUAUCGUGGGGGAUAACGCAGCGAAAGCUGUGCUAAUACCGCAUACGCCCUGAGGGGGAAAGCGGGGGAUCGCAAGACCUCGCGCGAUUAGAGCGGCCGAUGCCUGAUUAGCUUGUUGGUGGGGUAAAAGCCCACCAAGGCGACGAUCAGUAGCUGGUCUGAGAGGACGAUGAGCCACACUGGGACUGUGGCACGGCCCAGACUCCUACGGGAGGCAGCAGUGGGGAAUUUUGGACAAUGGGGGCAACCCUGAUCCAGCAAUGCCGCGUGAGUGAAGAAGGCCUUCGGGUUGUAAAGCUCUUUUGUCAGGGAAGAAACACCGGCUCUAACACAGUCCGGGAAUGACGGUACCUGAAGAAUAAGCACCGGCUAACUACGUGCCAGCCGCCGCCAUAA